UUAGAAAUAAUGAAUAAAUCGAAUAAAGAGAUUUUUAACAGAUAUAACAACAUGGCUGAUUUUCUUGCAAGAGACCCCACAAAUACAGAAGAAGCAACAUCCCUUAAGAAGUUUUGGUCAGCAACUCUGAAUGAUAUGGCUCUUUUGGAAAGAAUGAGUCAAGAAAACAAAAUCAAAGAAGAGUGGCUUGAGGGUGUUCGCUUUCCAAUACCAGAUAUAGACUUUUCUGUAAUUGUUGCAAAUAUGGAAUGGCCAAAGCGAAUUAGAACAAUCCUCAAUGUUCAUCAAAAGAGGAUUCAAGAUGAGUAUGAUUAUUAUGAACAAGAAUUUAAGAAAAAGCGCAAUGACUUUCAAAAGCUUUUGAAUAGUUAUGAAGAUCAAAUUAAAGAGUUUGACAUGUAUGGAGAUAUUGAAAAAGCACCUAUGCUGGGAAAAGA